UGGUCAUCACAUUUCAUUUUCAUAAGAUAACCGAUAACCUAAAAAUUUAGUAAAAAUUUUGAUUGGAAAAAAAUGCAUCGAUAAGGGGGUGUGGGAAAUGGAAAUUAGUGGCUUUUCUGCUGUACUGUCUGCUAGUCAAAUCACACAACACUUUUUUCUAUGCUGCUAGUUUUUGCUCUGGGCUCUGGCUGGAUCUCUUGUUUAAACAAUUUUAAUCAGCUGAAAGUGGCCUACAAAAAAAAAAAACAAGAAGGAAAUGUAUAGCCUUGUGGCUAUGAAAGGCAAAAGAGAGAUAUAAAAAGUGUAUUGGCUAGUUGGAAGAAAGUCCACAUUGUCCAUGCAUAAUAAGUUAUUACUUUAUCAACAAAUAUCAAGAAGAUAGCAGGGUCACGAGCAACAACUUCAUAAGUUCAAGAAUAUCGAGGAAAUCCAGCUCCUCGAUACUACUGGGCAAACUAGAAGAUUGAAGAGGACAAAGCCUUUUGAACUAGUUUGAGUGAUAGGUGAUAGUGAAAAACGGAGCAUAGUGCUUGUGUGCUGUGCCUGUGUAUGUUAGAAUAGUGCACGAUCUUGUUAGAUUAGAUAAGAGACGCUAUGGGGUAAGCUCUUCAUUUUAAGAAACAGUAGUAAUUUAGGUUAAAUUAAAAUUGCUCAUUGGUCAGUUAUGACCAGAUUGGUUUUUUAUGUUUGGCAAAAGGGACUUAAGUCAGAAUUGCACAUUGAUAAUGUUUUGAUGAUUUCUGGACCAGAAAAAAACUGUUGUAGAUGUAAACUGUAUGUACAGUAGAAUCUACUACAGUACUGUAGAAAUCAUCAAAACAUUAUCGAUGUGCAAUUCUGACUUAAGCCCUUUUUCCCAAACAUCAGAGAAUUGUAAUGUACAAUAAUUCUCCUAUUUGCUUUUUCAUGAAUUUUGUAGGAGAUGAAAAACCAUUUUUAGGAUCAUCUGCUUUCACAUGUAAAUUUUGACAUGUUUUGUAGUAAAUAGAUAGUUGAAUUUACUACAAAACAUGUCAAAAAAUAUAUGAAAACAGGAGGUGACUAUAAAAAAAGUUUUUAGUCUCUCUUACAAAACUCAUGAAAAAACAAAUCGGAGGUAUGUCACAUCAGUGACUAUAUCCAGGGAAUGUCUAAAAAAUAUACUUUGAUGUCCCAAGAACCAAAUAUAACCUACAGUCCAUCUAAUUUACUUACUGUUGCAGGUCAUUAUCUACGCCAGAGAUCUAAGUUGACAUAGUUGCCAAAGUAUAAAAAGAUCCUGAAUCCAUUUUAAAUCAAAUAUAUCACAUAAUUAUUGUAAACGUGGAUUAUACAACAAAACAAAUUAAUAUUCAAUGUAAAUAAGUAAAAACUUAAGAAAUAGAGAACAAGAAUUAAGUUAUAAUCUUUUAAGAUUUGCAGUGCAAGAGUUUUUGCACUGCAUUGUUAAUAAUUAAAAAACGGCUCCGAACUCUUGGCAAAAAGCUGGUAGGUUUCUUUGUAUAAGUUUGUCUACAAUAACAACUAAAAAAGUUGUCAGAUACCUCGAUUAUUCCAAGUCGUUAUAAAAUUAGGUGAAAUUUAUAUUUUUAUAGUAGAGGAUCUUUUUAUAGUAAAGUAAAUAAUAAAAACAGUAAAUAUAAUAAAUAAAACAGAUACUUAUAGUAAAGAAUAUAAACAAAUAUGAAGUGUCAUCACCGUAACUGUCAAAUAAUGUCACCUUCGUUCGAUUACAGUUACAGUGUGAUCCGAACAAAUCUGCUUAACAUUAAUAGAAAUCUUCAAAUAUUAUUUCUACGCGUAUAUAAUAAAAUAUGUCUAGUGGCUGUAAUUCCAUUGUACUCGGCAAAGUGAUUCUAAAAAAGAACACACCUACCGCCUAAAUAUUUCAGUUAAAAUAAAUAACAGUUAGUAAAUUAGACGAAGUAUGUAGAUAUAUACAGGGUGUAACAAAAAUACAGGUCAUAAAUUUAAUCACAUAUUCUGGGACCAAAAAUAGUUUGAUUGGACCUAACUUACCUUAGUACAAAUGUGCACACAAGAAAAGUUACAGCCCUUUGAAGUUAUAUAUAUAUAUAUAUAUAUAUAUAUAUAUAUAUAUAUAUAUAUAUAUAUAUAUAUAUAUAUAUAUAUAUAUAGACUUUAGUUUUUUAUUGAGGUUGCAGUCAUUUAUUUCUAAGGGGCAGGGUAAGAGAAACUCUGUUUUAGAUAUUUUAUGUUUUGUAGAAAUGUCAAAUUAAGGAACAAGCCUCACGUUGUAAGUUUUUGUACUAAUUUUUAUGCAGUGUUCUUUCAUUUCGUUGUAUUUAUUUAUAACUAUAUAAUAAUUUUAGCUAAUCCUGACGAAGCAAAUAAAUUUUGCGAAAGCUUGAUUAUAACACAGAGUUUCUCUUACCCUGCCCCUUAGAAAUAAAUGACUGCAACCUCAAUAAAAAACUAAAGUCUACAUAUUGUCAGUCAAUAAUACCAAACUUCUUUAUAUAUAUAUAUAUAUAUAUAUAUAUAUAUAUAUAUAUAUAUAUAUAUAUAUAUAUAUAUAUAUAUAUAUAUAUAUAUAUAAUAGCACUAAGGGCCUUAGAGGCCCAUGGCUUGAAAAGUUUGUUUUUUUCUUCAUUUUCACGUUUCUUUAUGUACUGAGAUCUUCUCUGGCUUGAUAUGUGAUUUUUCUCCAUUCCUUCCUGUUAUUCAUUUUUCUUUUCUGACCCUGUAGCACCAUUCUUUCCAAAUCUUUUUCGACCUCUUGCUUCCAUCUAUUUUUCGGCCUUCCUCUUCUCUUUCUUGAAGCUGUAGUGUAGUUUAGUACCAUUUUUGGAGUCCUCGUGUUUGGCAUCCUUUCAAUGUGACCUCGCCAUCUAAGUCUCUGUGCCUUUAUCACUCAUAUAUAUCGAAAACUAUUAGAGAUUUUUUAUUGAAAAUGGACAUGUGGCAUUAUUAUGGCAGCAGUAUCUUACGAAAAAACUAUAGUAAAAUUUGGACACCCCAUAAAAAUAUUUUGGGGGUUUUGUUCCUUUAAACCCCCCCAAACUUUUGUGCACGUUUCAAUUUAAUUAUUAUUGUAGUACCAUUUAAACACAACGUUUUAAAAACUUUUUUGCCUCUUAUUGCUUUUUCGAAAAGUCAAUUUUUAUCGAAAUAUUUUGAAUAUUUGUCAAAUCCACCACAUAUUUGUAUAUGGUUAAGUACGAUUAUGGAGACUUGGUAAUAAUAUGCAGACUUAUUUAUGCUUUACAUUUUUAGGUAUAUUUUGAACCAUAUUAAAAAAGAAGCCAGAUCUCGAUAAAAUGUGCCUUAUCGAAAAAAUACAAAGAGGCAAAAAAGUUUUAAAAACAUUCUGUUUAACUAAUGGUACCUCAGUAAUAGUUUAAUUGGAACGUACACAAACAUUUGGGGGGUUUAAAGGAACAAAACCCCCAUAAAAUUUUUAUGUAGACAUGUUAAAAAAGAAGUCGCAACUCGAUAAAAACUGCCUUAUCUGAAAAAUACUAAGAAACAAAAAUAUUGAAUUUAACUAAUGGUACCACAAUAAUAAAAUUGAAUUGGAACGUACACAAAAGUUUGGGAUGAUCUAAGGGAUCAAGACCCCCAUAAAAUUUUUAUGUGGUGCACAAAUUUCACCAUAAUUUUUCUUUAAGAUAUUCCUGCCAUAAUACUGCCACAUGUCCAUUUUCAAUAAAAAAUCGCUAAUAGUUUUCGAUAUAAUCGAAAAAAUCGAUUUUCAUUUUGUAAUUUCAAAGGGCUGUAACUUUUUUUAUGUGCAUAUUUGUACUAAGGUAAGUUAGGUUCAUUCGAACUAUUUUUGGUCCCAGAAUAUGUGAUUUAAUUUAUGACGUGUAUUUUUGUUACACCCUGUAUAUACAACCGAUUAUGCACCACCUUAAAAAUUGGGCAUUUUUGAUGUCUCGAAUUUCCUAAACCUGUUGUUGCAUCUAAGUGAUUUUUUUAUAAUAUUCUAGCCUAGGCCCUAGGCUAUAGGUUAAGUACCUCCUUAUGCUUGUCAUGCACGGGGAGCUAUACUGUAAUAUAUAUUAUAUCACAUCGCACUCUAUAGUAAUGAGUGAGCCUGCACAUACGGAACCAUUUGUUUCCUGUCUGCAGGCUCACUCAUUACUAUAGAGAGUGAUAUGAUAUAAUGUACAUAUAUUACAGCAUAGCUCCCUGUGCAUGACAAGCUUAAGGAGGUAACCUAUAGCCUAGGCUAUAAUAUUAUAAAAAAAUCACUUAGAUGAAACAACAGGUUUAGGAAAUACGAGACAUCAAAAAUACCCCAUAUUUAAGGUGGUGCGUUAAUUUCUUGGAGAAGUGUAUUGUAAUUUAAUGUAAAUAAUGUAAUAUCCAAUAAUUGUAAUUUAAUAUAAGAUGUAAUAUAAGUUCCUUAAAAAAUAUAUUUUUUAUUUCCCACGACAUUAGAUGGAUGUUCGGCAGCAAGACAUUGGACCAAACUGGGACGUCCUAUGAAGGCCAAUUGACGUCCACCGAACGUCCCUUCGGAUGUUAAGUGGACCUCCAUUGGGCGUUUGGCAACGUGGCAUUUGGAUCAAAAUUGGACGUCCUGUUAAGGUCCAAUUCACGUCCUCUAGAACAUCCGGUUAAGGUCCAAUUUACUUCCGAUUAAGGUCCAAUUUACGUCCGAUUAAGGUCCCAUUUACGUCCGAUUAAGGUCCAAUUUACGUCCUAUUAAGGUCCAAUUUACGUCCGGUUAAGGUCCAAUUUACGUCCGAUUAAGGUCCCAUUAAGGUCCAAUUUACGUCCUAUUAAGGUCCAAUUUACGUCCGAUUAAGGUCCAAUUUACGUCCGAUUAAGGUCCAAUUUACGUCCGAUUAAGGUCCAAUUUACGUCCGAUUAAGGUCCAAUUUACGUCCCCUAGGACGUCCGAUCAAGGUCCAAAUUACGUCCGAUUAAGGUCCAAUAUACGUCCCCUCGGACCUUAGAUGGACGUCCAAUGGACGUUCGGUAGCGCGACAUUUGGACCAAAAUAGGACGUAUAAAGGACAUUCCUCGGACGAAAACGGACGUCCAAUGGACGUCCCUAAAGUCCGUGAAGGACGUCCAAUGGACGUCCUU